GAUGAACGCUGGCGGCGUGCCUAAUACAUGCAAGUCGAGCGAACGGACGAGAAGCUUGCUUCUCUGAUGUUAGCGGCGGACGGGUGAGUAACACGUGGAUAACCUACCUAUAAUACUGGGAUAACUUCGGGAAACCGGAGCUAAUACCGGAUAAUAUUUUGAACCGCAUGGUUCAAAAGUGAAAGACGGUCUUGCUGUCACUUAUAGAUGGAUCCGCGCUGCAUUAGCUAGUUGGUAAGGUAACGGCUUACCAAGGCAACGAUGCAUAGCCGACCUGAGAGGGUGAUCGGCCACACUGGAACUGAGACACGGUCCAGACUCCUACGGGAGGCAGCAGUAGGGAAUCUUCCGCAAUGGGCGAAAGCCUGACGGAGCAACGCCGCGUGAGUGAUGAAGGCCUUCGGAUCGUAAAACUCUGUUAUUAGGGAAGAACAUAUGUGUAAGUAACUGUGCACAUCUUGACGGUACCUAAUCAGAAAGCCACGGCUAACUACGUG
rnacentral:rRNA from 1 species